rnacentral:rRNA from 1 species
GGCCUAACACAUGCAAGUCGAGCGAUGAAACCCUUCGGGGUGGAUUAGCGGCGGACGGGUGAGUAACACGUGGGUAACCUGCCUCAAAGAGGGGAAUAGCCUCCCGAAAGGGAGAUUAAUACCGCAUAAUAUGUUUUGUUCGCAUGAUCGAAACAUCAAAGGAUGUUCUUUUAGAACUUCCACUUUGAGAUGGACCCGCGGCGCAUUAGCUAGUUGGUGAGGUAAUGGCCCACCAAGGCAACGAUGCGUAGCCGACCUGAGAGGGUGAUCGGCCACAUUGGAACUGAGACACGGUCCAGACUCCUACGGGAGGCAGCAGUGGGGAAUAUUGCGCAAUGGGGGAAACCCUGACGCAGCAACGCCGCGUGAAUGAUGAAGGCCUUCGGGUUGUAAAGUUCUGUCUUCUGGGACGAUAAUGACGGUACCAGAGGAGGAAGCCACGGCUAACUA